GUGAGUUGGAUUUGUGCGGUAACUUUUCCUUUGAGCAGUCUAGCAGCUUUAGAGCUACAGCUACUCUGCCUCGGGUCACCGAUGAGCAACACUAUUAUCUGAGGAGUAUCAUGGAAUAAACAUGGCCCACAAUCGCAGAUUUUUCUUUGAAGUGCGAGCGUGAUGAGCACGGAGGAGAUGGACCGGCAGCAGCCCACCUCCCCCGAGGAGAAAAAGUCUCCCACUCUUAGGCACUUCACUUCCUCUGAUCCUUUGAGAA